rnacentral:lncRNA from 1 species
CCCCAUUUUAAAAGAGGAGGUGUUAGAAGACAUUAAGAGUUUGAAGAUCCUGGCCAUCUGAAUAGCUGGUAGUGAUGGUGACAGCACAGACACAGUGGAAGGAAUGCAGUGAGUGCUGCAUAUGAUGAAGAGGGAGCAGAGAGUAAUUGGUAUGGGCAAUCCUUGACACCUGACUGGUGUUUGUGUAACUCUUUGUGUGAGGACUCUGUUUUCACUGAUAUAAUGAAAUCAGCACUUCUGAACUGCUCUCAUCUGUCUACAGAGAGCAAAAAGCCUCACUGGUGCCUUUUCCUGGUUUCUGAUGUUCAUAAUGUCCAUACCAUGAAUUGUGAAUGAGUUUGGCUGACAAAUGCCCCAUGGCCUCCCAGCAGAGCAGAAUCCACUGCAGCAGGGGAUGAG